rnacentral:lncRNA from 1 species
GAAACAGGCACUCUUCUGUGUUACACCCUAAGGCCAUAAAAUGCCAAAAAUAUUUUUGGUCUUUGUUCCUGGCCAUGAAGCCUUUUCUUUUCUUUUUUCUGGUACCAGGGAUCGAACUCAGGACCUUGCACUUGCCAGGCAGACGUGGCACCACUGAGCUACACCCCCGGCCCUAUGAAGCCAUUUCUUACAUUAAAAUGCUUUGCUGGGGACAAGAAAUGGUGUUAGUCCAGACCCAGCUCCCUUAUAUUUCCUAUUUUUUGGUACCAGGGGUCAAACUUGGGACCCUGUGCUUUCGAGGCAGGUGGCGGAACCACUGAGCUACAUCCCGGCCCUCCCUUAUGUUUCCUGCAGACCAAACGUGGAACAUCCUGCAGAUGCCUGAGAUGGAGUGACCCUCUCUGUUGUCCAUGGUGCAGCAGGCAGCAGGUGCAGAUGACCCUGUGGGUGCAGAUGACCCUGUGGUCCAUAACCCUCAGGCCACUCUCCAGUUGCCACCAACAUUUAGCUCACUGUCCUUGAGGUCCUCAGCAGCCUUGAUGCUCCUCCAGCCAUAAAGUCAAGGUGAAGAUACCAAGGGAUUUGCCCACUCCUCCUGGUGGUACCUGCUGUGUCAACGCACAGGGUGGAGGGGACAGAGCUUGCCCGGGAGCCACUUGGCAGGAGACCACACCAGGCCUGCACCAGAGGCCUCCGAUCGUCUCACUGGAAACUACAACUGAGGGGGUGGCCGUUUAGCUCCAUCCAUGGUAUUGCAAC